ensembl:lncRNA
UGCACGCCGUAGCCAAACAUUUUACAAAAGAAACUACCAGUAUUAUUAUUUAUUUUUUACAUCGGACAAAUUCAGGUAGGUCCCUCCCCCUUUCGGCCCGUUUGGUUCCUGGUCAGGUCUGGGUUAGGUACGAGGUUAAUGGUCAGGUCUGGGUUGGGUGUGAGGUUAAUGGUCAGGUCUGGGUUGGGUGUGAGGUUAAUGGUCAGGUCUGGGUUGGGUGUGAGGUUAAUGGUCAGGUCUGGGUUGGGUGUGAGGUUAAUGGUCAGGUCUGGGUUAAGUAUGAGGUUAAUGGUCAGGUCUGGGUUAGGUAUGAGGUUAAUGGUCAGGUAUGAGGUUAAUGGUCAGGUCUGGGUUAGGUAUGAGGUUAAUGGUCAGGUAUGAGGUUAGGUAUGAGGUUAAUGGUCUGGGUUAGGUAUGAGGUUCCUGGUCAGGUCUGGGUUAGGUAUGAGGUUAAUGGUCAGGUCUGGGUUAGAUAUGAGGUUAAUGGUCAGGUCUGGGUUAGAUAUGAGGUUAAUGGUCAGGUUUUAAAAUCAGCUUACAGUAUAAGUACCUCUGAUUAGCCUGUAAGCCGAUAGCUACUGUCUGUGGUACAACACAAGAAAACUUUUCAGUUAGCUUUGC